rnacentral:rRNA from 1 species
CUACGGGGCGCUGCAGUGGGGAAUAUUGCACAAUGGAGGAAACUCUGAUGCAGCAACGCCGCGUGGAGGAUGACACUUUUCGGAGCGUAAACUCCUUUUAUAUAGGAAGAAGAUGACGGUACUAUAUGAAUAAGCGCCGGCUAACUCCGUGCCAGCAGCCGCGGUAAUACGGAGGGCGCAAGCGUUACUCGGAGUCACUGGGCGUAAAGAGCGUGUAGGCGGAUUAAAAAGUCAGAAGUGAAAUCCUAUAGCUUAACUAUAGAACUGCUUCUGAAACUCUUAAUCAAGAAUAUGGGAGAGGUAGAUGGAAUUUCUGGUGUAGGGGUAAAAUCCGUAGAGAUCAGAAGGAAUACCGAUUGCGAAGGCGAUCUACUAGAACAUUAUUGACGCUGAGACGCGAAAGCGUGGGGAGCAAACAGGAUUAGAUACCCUCGUAGUC